UAAUACCUACGGGAGGCAGCAGUGAGGAAUAUUGGUCAAUGGCCGGAAGGCGGAACCAGCCAAGCCGCGUGAGGGAGGAAGGCGCAGAGCGUCGCAGACCUCUUUUGCCGGGGGACAAAAGGCCGGACGGGUCCGGUUCUGAGGGUACCCGGAGAAAAAGCAUCGGCUAACUCCGUGCCAGCAGCCGCGGUAAUACGGAGGAUGCGAGCGUUAUCCGGAUUUAUUGGGUUUAAAGGGUGCGUAGGCGGUCCGUUAAGUCAGCGGUAAAAUUGCGGGGCUCAACCCCGUCGAGCCGUUGAAACUGG
rnacentral:rRNA from 1 species